UUUUUUUUUUUACUUAAAAUUUUUAAAUCAAAGCAAGGUACUAAAAUAUAGUAUUUAUAAUAAAAGGUAGAUUUUUUUUAAUUUAAAGAUAAUACUCCAUUUUUUGGUAGUUUCUGUCACAGGCAGUAUUCAGAUUCUUCUGCAUUAAAAUAUGAUAACUGGUAUUUGUAAAAAGUAUUUGGAAAGACUUUUAGAAGCCUAUCCAUUUUAAUUUCACUAAGUAGAUUAAAACCAACUUCUAGAAUAUGGCUUGAUGAAACUUAACACAUUUUGCUUCAGAAAUGAUGCAAAACUAGUUAAAAAGUUCUCCUUAUUAGUGGUACUCCAUCUGUACUACCAAAAAAAAAUUUUUUUUGACUUGUAUUUAUAUGAAUUUUAUUUAAAUAUAGCAUGUGCAUGUUAAUUAGAAAAAAAAACUUUGGGUUUAAUCCAUUAUACAAUUUCAGGAUUGUCUUAGAAAUACAUUCUAAGAAAUGAACUUAGAGUACGAGAAUUAAAUAACUACGGGUGAACAUUUUUUACAUAUGUAGGGCAAAGGUCUUUCAACAACCCCUGAUUGAGUUUUAGAGUGUAGGCUAGCAUUUAAUUACUUAACAGCAUGCAUUUGUUCAGUCCAUCAUUAUGUCAUUCAAAUACUUGAUUAUAUUUAGAUUGGUAGUAUUGUGUGAAUCAACAAAUUAACUCAUUUUAAGGAUCUUUGUAUAAAUAAGCUAUAAAGAAUCAAGUUUACCUCAUAUAUAUUUCUGGCAUGAAAUCUCUGAAGGGGGUUUUAGAAAUCCAAUUCCUAAGACUUCCAAUAACCUGCAUUGUCAUUCGCCAUCUUCAUUAUAAAUAUUUUGUAGAUGUCACUGUCCAUGACAUUGUUCAAAACCAUUAAACAUGGACCUAUAUUAGAAAGUUUUCUUAAGGGCAGCCCAGGUGGCUUGGCGGUUUAGCGCUGCCUUCAGCCCAGGGCGUGAUCCUGGAGACCAGGGAUCAAAUCCCACGUCGGGCUCCCUGCGUGGAGCCUGCUUCUCCCUCUGCUUGUGUCUCUGCUUCUCUCUCUCUCUGUGUCUCUCAUGAAUAAAUAAAUAAAAUAUUUUAUAAAAAGUUUUCUUAAUAAUACAGAAAUUAUCUUUUGAGAGACAAUGUCCCUACUUUUGAUAAUUAUGUUAAGAGAUUUAUAAGUGGUUUCCUUAUCUUUCCUAUGUCUGCAGGAAGUUCAGAAACAUUCAAUUACCUUCAAUAUCAGGACUGUCUCUUCCCUUUUUUAAGAUUUAUUUCUUUAUUUGAGAGAGAGAGAGUACACAAGUCGGGAGAGAAGAAACAGACUCCCAGCUGAGUGUGGAGCCUGACAUAAGGCUUGAUCCCACAACCUAAGAUCAUUGCCUGAGCUGAAAUCAAGAGUCAGAUGCUUAACCUACGGAACCACCCAGGAGCCCCUAGUCAACUGUUUUAAAACAAAGGAUCAAAGGUUUUUCAAUAAAUGCUGCUGAAACAACUGGAUAUCUACAAAGAAAUAUUCAACCUAGACAGAGACCUUGUAGUCUUCACAAAAACUCAAAAAUACAUCACAGGCCUAAAUGUGAAAUGCAAAAUUGUAAAACUGCCAUAGCAGCAUACAAAAAAAUCUAAAUGACCAAGAGUAUAUUGUUGACAUUUUAGAUAGAACACCAAAGUCUCAAUCCAUGAUAGAAAUAAUUGAUAAUCUAGACUUUACUAAAGAACAUUCAUUUGGUCUAAAUAAGUAAUACAAGAGAAUAAGAAGACCAGCCAUAGACUAAGAGAAAAUUAUUUGCAAAAAAAAAAGUUUGAAAAAGUACUGCCAUCUAAAAUACACAAAAAUGCUUAAAAUUCAAUAAUAAGAAAACAAACCCCAAUUAAAAAUGGGCCAAAGGAAAAUAAAAAAAUAAAUAAAAUAAAAUAAAAUAAAAUUAAAUUAAAUUAAAUUAAAUUAAUAAAAUAAAAAUAGGCCAGACUUUAGCAGACACUUUAUCAAAGAAGAUACACGGAUAGAAAAAAAAAAAAAAAAAAACAUACAAAAUGAUAAAAACACAUGGCUAUGUCAUCAGGGAAGGGCAAAAAAAAAAAAAAAAAAAAAA
rnacentral:lncRNA from 1 species